CACCGCGGCUGACCCGCCGUGUGAGUCCGACUAUCGAUUGAAAAGUAAUAAGGCAUCCAUCGGUGGAAAUAGAUCUAUGAAGGCGUGAUAUGUGAGCACCGCAGACCUUAGUGUGAAUACAAUCUAAAUACUUUGGUUGUUAGGUAACUUACAGAGGGUGAGUUACUAAGGUGUGUCCGUGCUUGCAAAUCAAUGUAUUAAACAAAACGUGUCUCAUUAAAUGAAUCACCUUGAUAAAAUUUAUUGUGAAUCUCA